rnacentral:rRNA from 1 species
UUGAUAAUGUUCUUAUAUGGAUAACCAUUGGGAAACUAUGGCUAAUACAUGCUCAACAGCUUCGGUUGUAUUUAUUAGUUUUGACCAGUCUUGUACUGUGAGGAGUCAUAAUAACUGAUCGGAGCGCACUAGUGUGCGCUAAAUCUUUCGAGUUUCUGCCCUAUCAGAUUGUUGGUAGUGUAUUGGACUACCAUGUCUAUCACGGGUAACGGAGAAUUAGGGUUCGAUUCCGGAGAGGGAGCCUGAGAAAUGGCUACCACAGCUACGGUAGGCAGCAGGUGCGUAAAUUACCCAAUCCAAAUUCUGGAAGGUAGUUACAGGAAAUUUGUUGCGCGUGAUUUAUCACCGACACAACCGAACACAUUUAAGCAUUGUGUGUUUAAUUGGAGGGCAAGUUUGGUGCCAGCAGCCGCGGUAAUUCCAACUCCAAGAGUGUAUCUUAAUGUUGCUGCAGUUAAAAAGCUCGUAGUUGAAUUUCUGAAGAUGGGAGAAGCUCACGCAGAUCCCGUCUUCAUCCGCUCGGAGAGGCUAGGGAAC